rnacentral:rRNA from 1 species
AACCCGGCCCAGAUUCCUACGGGAGGCAGCAGUGGGAAUAUUGGACAAUGGGCGAAAGCCUGAUCCAGCAAUACCGAGUGAGUGAUGAAGGCCUUAGGGUUGUAAAGCUCUUUUAGCAAGGAAGAUAAUGACGUUACUUGCAGAAAAAGCCCCGGCUAACUCCGUGCCAGCAGCCGCGGUAAGACGGAGGGGGCUAGCGUUGUUCGGAAUUACUGGGCGUAAAGAGUGCGUAGGCGGUUUAGUAAGUUGGAAGUGAAAGCCCGGGGCUUAACCUCGGAAUUGCUUUCAAAACUACUAAUCUAGAGUGUAGUAGGGGAUGAUGGAAUUCCUAGUGUAGAGGUGAAAUUCUUAGAUAUUAGGAGGAACACCGGUGGCGAAGGCGAUCAUCUGGGCUACAACUGACGCUGAUGCACGAAAGCGUGGGGAGCAAACAGGAUUAGAUACCCUGGUAGUCCACGCCGUAAACGAUGAGUGCUAGAUAUCGGAAGAUUUUCUUUCGGUUUCGCAGCUAACGCAUUAAGCACUCCGCCUGGGGAGUACGGUCGCAAGAUUAAAACUCAAAGGAAUUGACGGGGGCUCGCACAAGCGGUGGAGCAUGCGGUUUAAUUCGAUGUUACGCGAAAAACCUUACCAACCCUUGACAUGGUGGUCGCGGAUCGCAGAGAUGCUUUUCUUCAGCUCGGCUGGAUCACACACAGGUGUUGCACGGCUGUCGUCAGCUCGUGUCGUGAGAUGUUGGGUUAAGUCCCGCAACGAGCGCAACCCUCAUUCUUAUUUGCCAGCGGGUAAUGCCGGGAACUAUAAGAAAACUGCCGGUGAUAAGCCGGAGGAAGGUGGGGAUGACGUCUAGUCAUCAUGAUCCUGGCUCCCAGGCGAACCACGUUGCCGGUGAAGCAACAGUGCGCAUAGCGAACACUGGUUGUGCGAGACGCGGCUUUACAGUUGCUUUGGCAGCAUGUGCGAAUGGAGACAAGCUACCAGCGUUUGUGAUUUUAAAGGAACCGAGCGGCAAGAUACCAGCGAAGGCAUUCAUGAAACUUCGCAUUCCAGGUAAGUGUCAAACAAAUUACGUGUUUGUUUAUUAUGGCUUUCAAAUCAAUACACUUGUUUACAACUAGCAUUGUGCAUUGUUCUUUCUCUGUGGGAGAAUUCCGUAUUUCUAUUA